rnacentral:misc_RNA from 1 species
UCUCCGUAGGUGAACCUGCGGAGGGAUCAUUAACACGUUUUAUUCUUUUUAUUUUUUUAUUUUUUUUAAUUACAACAUGAAAAAAAACAAGAAGAGUUUCAUAUCUAAUGAAUUAAAACCAAAAUCAAAUAUGAGUUGUUGGAUGGGUGACUUUUUUGUCACUUUUUCUAAUAACUCUUGUGAACUUGUUUUUUCUUUUUAAACUAUAAUCUUUUACAUACACUUUUGUGUGUGUAAGUUUUAUAAUUGAACUUGAAAACAAGACAAAACUAUGAAAACUUGUUUUCAUUUUUUUUUGUCAAGUUUUACUAAACUUCUAUUACUAUUUCUUUAACAUCUUUACAACUUUAACACUUUUGUAAAAGUUAAACAAAUAAUUUUAAAUCUUAAAGAACAACUCUUAGCAAUGGAUAUCUUGGUUCUC